CCGUGCUAGACGGGGAGGUAGCGGUGCCCUGUACCCGCAAUCCGCUCUAGCGGGGUCGAAUUCCCGCCCGAGGUGCCCCCGUGUUGGACUGAGCCGCGGGGCGCGGCGAUGAAGGCUGGGCCCCACGCGACGGGAAUCUGCCAACCCCGCCAGGCCCGGAAGGGAGCAACGGUACGCAGACCCUCCCGGGUGCCGUGGGAUCCCCUGGCCCGAGCUGGCGUUCCGUGGAGAUCGCAGGACGGGGCGUAUCGACGGCGGGUGCACGG
rnacentral:SRP_RNA from 1 species